UACCUCAAAGAGGAAGACUGAGACUCCAUGCUCAAGUUGAGAAGAACAGCUACAGAAAAUAAGGAAACAGCGCCUACACGGGACUCCAUCAUUUUGGAACCUCUUCCCGGGAACCCAUGCAGACACAGCUCAACCUCCAAGAAACAGGGACAAGGACAGCAGACGGUUUACUCGGCGUUAAGGAAGAGGCAAGAGAUUCUUUUGUGUUCAAGUCAUCACGUUCCAACCCCUUGGGUUCACGACUCCAAGAAAUGCAGCUCUCCACGGAGUCUAGUCGUCAGCUCGUUAGAGUGAAAUCAGAACCACUUGAUGCUCCAUGCCUACUAGAAGAGGACCGAACCCAGCACCGCAGCGAAUCUCCAUCAGGAGGCAGCACCGAUGGGGCACAAACAACACACUGUACCAAACAUACGGCAAGAAACUCGAGCCUCAGGCUUCAUAAGUAGAGGUGUGCGAAUGGCAAAAUUACCAAGUCGAAUCAAUUUCAAAUAUUUCAUGUUCAAUGCGAGUCGAAGUUGAAUAAUUUGGCACUGUUUCGAAUCGAAUUCGAAUAUGUACAGAACAUUCAAAACGAAUACCCUUCGAAUACUUCGCCUUUAGAGUCUGGAAAUAAAUCAAAUAAUCGGCUCACUCAGAAGAAUGGGUGGUCUGACAAGAUCACGGCUGUCAUCA